rnacentral:tRNA from 1 species
GCCUGGGUGGCUCAGUCAGUUGAGCGUCUGACUUUCACGCAGGUCAUGAUCUCGCAGUUUGUGGGUUCAAGCCCUGCAUCAGGCU